rnacentral:tRNA from 1 species
GCCUCGUGAAGCUGCUGGGUGGCUGGCCGAUUGUCGAUCGGCUGGGACGGGUUCGAUUCCCGUACGGGGCG